ensembl:snRNA U6 U6 spliceosomal RNA
GUGCUUGCUUCAGCAGCACAUAUACUAAAACUGGAACAAUACAGAGAAAAUUAGCAUGGCCCCUGUGCAAGGAUGACAUACAAGUUCAUGAAGCAUUCCAUAGUUUU